rnacentral:misc_RNA from 1 species
UGCACCAAUCAAUUCGUACAAUUCCAUGAGAAAUUAAGUCUUUGCCCCCCCUACUAUAAAGAGGGGAGGCUGAAGCCAAAAUGGAGUUUAUGACCUUGAUUACUACUUGCUAGUUUAUGGCAAUUGCAGCAACCAUGAACCUCAACUCCAACGAUAACAAUAUCAUCUCCACCACUGCCGCCGCCGCCACCACCACCAAAGAUGACCACGAAAACGACAUGGUUAUGCCUGGAUUUCGCUUCCACCCUACCGAGGAAGAACUCGUUGAGUUCUACCUUCGCCGUAAGGUCGAGGGCAAGCGUUUCAAUGUAGAGCUCAUUACUUUCUUGGAUCUUUAUCGCUACGACCCUUGGGAACUUCCUGCCUUGGCUGCAAUCGGAGAGAAAGAAUGGUUCUUUUAUGUGCCUAGAGACCGAAAGUAUCGAAACGGCGAUCGACCCAAUCGUGUAACUACUUCCGGCUACUGGAAGGCAACAGGAGCUGACCGGAUGAUCAGAACUGAGAACUCCAGGUCAAUUGGGUUAAAGAAAACCCUAGUUUUCUACUCUGGGAAAGCUCCUAAAGGUAUCCGAACAAGCUGGAUCAUGAAUGAAUAUCGCUUGCCACAGCAUGAAACUGAACGAUAUCAGAAGGUAAACAACUGUGUAAGUACAUGAUGCCAAAGAAAUGAAGCUUUUAUUUAGAGGAUAUUAUUUCUUGUUUGUUUUCUGUAAAUUAUAUCAUCUUUGCUUGCUUUCCCAUAUCAUAAAACAUGGUUCCUAGCUCAAAUUUCAAUCUCUCCAAGUAACCCUAGUUGUUAGAGAUGUAUUUAGUUCACAUCCUGGAUAUAUAGUGACUUGAGAGAAGUUUCUUUACUUCUUCACGAGUUGCAGGUGCACAAUCUGAAAUAAGUACUAAAGGAUAAAAGAUAAGAACAAUACUUCUGACAUGAUGAGUUGGGAGUUUCAAAUCUUGUUAUUUAAUUCGAAUUUUAUUAUUAUUUAAUGUUCUUUUUCUCUUCACAAGAAAAUUUAUAGCUCAGCAUGCAUCAACUUUCAAUUCAGUGACCCCAUAAACGCCUCUAGCUAUAUAGGUCCUGCUAAUUCUUUCAUCCCAUGUAUACCAAGUCACAACUUCUAAUUUCCAUCGAUCUUGAUCUUUUCCAGGCUGAGAUAUCACUUUGCCGAGUUUAUAAAAGAGCUGGAGUGGAAGAUCACCCGUCUCUCCCUCGUUCUCUUCCAUCGAGAGCUUCAUCAUCUAGAGGCGCUCAAUCGGAAAAGAAAAAUCUUCAUCAACUUUCCAUUGAAAGAUUUCAACCAUUUGGAGGAGGACAAUCACAGCAAAUAGAGAUGGAGAAGAUGAGUGAAACAGAUGGAAGUAGUAGCUCAGAUGUCACUACUGGUUUAGGACUCUCCAAAAGUACUAAUAAUGAAUACCAUCCUGUACCUACAAUUAGCACUUCACUUGGAUUACCAGCUGCAAUGGAAGAAGAAGAAAUUUUUCUAAACCAGUCUAGACAAGCCUGCUCUUUAGUCCCUAACAAUACCAACCUCUUCACUGGUUCAUCUUCGGUUUCCUCCAACCCGGUUGAUGAUCUCCAUAGACUAGUAAAUUAUCAGCAAGCUUGCAUUAGCCAUCACCAGCAGCAGCAACAGCAACAAUAUUACACUCAUCAUCAUCAACAACAGCAGCAACCUUCACAAUUCUCUAUCAUGGCACCGCAAACUCAGCCACUGGCUUUCAACGUGCUGCCCAACUCACUACCCACCGCAUUGUGGGAGUGGAACCCAAUGCCAGAAGGAAAUAGAGAGUACAACCUUAACAAUCCGUUCAAGUAAUCAAUGAACUGCACACACAAUUAUAUUUAUGUGUAGGUUAAUUAGUUAUACUUUAUGUUGCUGGUAAUGAUCAUAAUUAAUCUAUACAGAUAUGUGUGUAGGUUAAUUCCCUCUAAUUAUCAACUUUAAUUAAUGUCAUUAGCUUUUGGAUUGACUGAUAUUAAUUAAUGUAUGAUCUGUUUCUCUAUUAGGGUUUUGGAUUUUAGUUAAUGAUAGAGUUUUCUGAUUCACAGUAGAGAAUUUUAUUUUAGCCUUUAAAGAAUUUGAGGUUUCAAAAGUGAUGGAGAAUUUUCACAUGGUAGGCUAAUCCUGUGUGGGUAUGAUUAUCUGUAGUUGGGGUUCAUAUGGAGUAUAGUCAAUUUCAUUUCCUGGAAGGUAAUGUCCAUUAUUGAGCUCAUAAAUGUGUCUUGGUCUAAAAUGGAGAUUUAAGUGAAGGAUAGGACUCUUUCACUCAAGGCAUUCAGUGCAAGUUCAGAAAAUGAUGAUGCUAUGAUUGGUACUAGGAGAUUAUAUAGAGACAAAGGAACAUAUAACAUCUUGGAAAGUAUUAUAGUAUUAGAGAGAACAAGGUUGGACCCCAUAUAUCACAACCCAACAUCCAAAAUGAAGACAGCAUAUACAGAUUCUCAUUUUGAUUUGAUUCUCUUAUUUGUGGGUGAGAAGGGUACCAACCCCUCCAAUUCAAAACCUUGUCUUUCCUUUUGGAUUUUUUUUUAGACAAUUUGGAGGCUAUCUGAGAUAUAUGUAGCUAGAUCAACAUUGAACCAUUUUUAAUUUUUGUUUUUGGCAGAAAUGGCUCCAAUUGGGACUCAAACUUAAGACCUCAAAACCCUGAUUGCAUUUUAACUUGUAGAAAUUAUUUAUGAUUAUUACAUGGAUUAAAAAGCAUAUAUAGAGCCUACACAAUGUGCCCUAGUUGACUGUAUAGUGGCUGAUGUGUAGGAGAGAUAUAGCACUGUAUAACACUUGGUAGGUCUUUGCCACUUUUUUUUAUAAGCAAAAGAUUUCAUAAAUUGCUCAUCUAGGCCUCCUCAAAGAAACCAACCUAGAGCAUGUCUUUGUCAAAAUUAUUACCAGUGCAAAGUCAGUGAGAAGUGCAUGCGCUCCAUUUCAUGGAGAGGUCAAUUUGCUGCUAUGUUCAAUCUUUACCUAUACAUUGUUUGCUAUUAGCCUUCUUCAUUCCUUGUCUCAUGCAACUGUUUGUUGAUAUUCCUAAAAGAAACAGCUAUACGCAUCUUUGAUUUUGUGUAGAAGAGAUUUAGGUUGGGGAUUGACCUAUCUUGGGUGCAUGUAUAUAUAUUGCAUUCCUCUUUUUUAAAGUGAAAGAUUUACUGUUCAUUCAUUUUUUUU